rnacentral:rRNA from 1 species
UACGAAGGGGGCUAGCGUUGCUCGGAAUCACUGGGCGUAAAGGGCGCGUAGGCGGCGUCUCAAGUGGAUGGUGAAAUCCCCGGGCUUAACCUGGGAACUGCCGUCCAAACUGAGAGGCUUGAGUCCGGGAGAGGUAAGUGGAACUGCGAGUGUAGAGGUGAAAUUCGUAGAUAUUCGCAAGAACACCAGUGGCGAAGGCGGCUCACUGGCCCGGUACUGACGCUGAGGUGCGAAAGCGUGGGGAGCAAACAGGG